rnacentral:rRNA from 1 species
GUGGGGAAUAUUGCGCAAUGGGGGCAACCCUGACGCAGCAAUACCGCGUGAGUGAAGAAGGUUUUCGGAUCGUAAAGCUCUGUUAUUGGGGAAGAAAAAAGACGGUACCCAAGAAGAAAGUCCCGGCUAACUACGUGCCAGCAGCCGCGGUAAUACGUAGGGGACAAGCGUUGUCCGGCUUUACUGGGCGUAAAGGGCACGCAGGCGGUUUUUUACGUCAGAUGUGAAAGGUAACGGCUCAACCGGUGACAUGCAUUUGAAACUGAAAGACUUGAGUAUUGGAGAGGCAAGUGGAAUUCCUAGUGUAGCGGUGAAAUGCGUAGAUAUUAGGAGGAACACCGGUGGCGAAGGCGGCUUGCUGGACAAAUACUGACGCUGAGGUGCGAAAGCGUGGGGAGCAAACAGGAUUAGAUACCCGAGUAGUCC